GCAUUGAGGGCCGGACGAUCAUGUGAUCAGAGUCAUCCAGGACUCAUACAGGGCUUGCCACACCUCCUUGGAGGUGGAAGGUGCUGGAACCCCAGAUAUCGCCAUCAAGACUGGGGUCAAGCAGGGUGACCCCAUGUCUCCAUUGCUUUUUAACUUGGCAAUUGACCCACUGGUAAUGAAGGCGGGAUGCUCACAGCCCUUGCAUUUGCUGAUGAUCUGGUGCUAUUGAGCGAUGGUUGGGAUGGUAUGAAUACCAACCUGUCGAUCUUGGAGAAAUUCUGUAGUUUAACUGGCCUGACGGCACAGGUUAAGAAAUGUCAUGGCUUUUUGGUGAAUCCAAUGCAUGACAGUUAACAACUGCCAGCCAUGGCAGAUUAGCAGGACCAAUAUGCACAUAGUUGGCCUGGAGGAGUCGGAAAAAUACCUCGGAGUGCAGGUCGGUCCCUGGCGAGGUAUCUCGAAGCUUGACAUGGAACGUCAGCUGCAGACAUGGAUCCAAAGAAUCGACGAGGCACCACUGAAGCCCUCCCAGAAGGUGAUCACCAGACUCGACAGACUGGUCAAGCGGGCUGUCAAAGCUUGGCUGCAGCUUCCUCACUCAACAUGUGAUGGACUGCUAUAUUCCUGGAGACGAGAUGGCAGAUUGGGGAUCCAGAAGUUGGCAGAUUCCAUCCCUUCCAUCCAAAUACAGCGAAUUCUGAGUCGCCCAGUUCAGGGACCCUACCAUCAGGUGUCUGAUGAGUUCGUCACGUAUCCGAAAAGAGCUCGAGAGGGCUUGGGCACGAGCAGGCAGAGUGCCGGGUUCUGCGCCUGCACUGUUUGAGAUUCCCAUUAUACCAUCUGUUGAUGUGGAUAACACCGAUGCCAGCCCAAUCUUGCCUCCAAAGGUGAGCUAACUAGUCCCACGGGACUGGAGAAGAGAUGAGUUCAAGCACUGGUGUACCUUGCCAGUACAAGGCAUGGCUAUACAAUGCUUUCAGGGGGAUAAAACUAGUAAUCACUGGUUGCAGAACCAUCACAGGUUUUGGGAGCGCCACUACAUCGCAGUCCUCCAACUGAGAGCCAACAUAUACUCGACCCAAGAAAGCCUCAACCGAAGCAGAAGUUACAGUGCAGGAAGUGCAGGGUGUGAUAUGAGUCCUGCUCACAUAUUCUAGGACAAUGCCCGGCGGUCCAGGCUGCGCGGAUUGCCCGUCACAAUAAGAUCUGUGACAUCCUAGUGGAAGAGGCUAAGGAUUUGACCUGUGAGACCUACUGAGAACCCCGGUUAUUCACGGUUGAGGGCGAACUGCGAAAACCGGAUCUGAUAUUCAAGCUGGAUAGAGUUGCCAUUGUGGUGGAAGUCACUGUGCAUUGGGAAAAUUAAUCAAACUCCUUCACUAAGGUGGCCAGUUAGUCUACUACCAGAACCUGGAAGAUCAAGUGCGUAACCACAUAGAGACCGAUACCAUGCACUUCUUUGGCUUUCACGUCGGAGUCAGGGGGAAGUGGCACGAGCCCAAAAACGAGGUCCUACGACUCUUGGGCAUGUCAAACCACCGGACACGUCAAGUAGGAAGGCUGCUGAGCCAAAGAACAUUGCUCUAUUCACUGGACAUCUUGCCAAUGUUUGGAGGCAGCGGCUUUACCGAAAAUACCGAUGAAGGCUGGUACUCCCAGUAGGGGCUCCUGGGUCACAAUGAUCCCCCAUCACGACGAUAACUGUUGGAGGUUGCACGUUCUCCCCGGAUUGACUCUCCCCCUCCCCAUUUUUUGUUGCCGUAGGUCCUUUCUAUGCCAAAUGUUCAUCCAUAGCAGAUGGGCCGCUCACAAUAACUCAGAAAAGAAGGUGUAGUUUACAUUGCACCAUAAGUAAAUAAUAGGCAAAUGCUUUGUCAUCUAAUUAGUGAUGCACAUGAAUGGAUGAACAAGAUUCCCACUCUCCCUACCUACAGCCAAGGGAACGGGCUUAGCAGAAUCAGCGGGGACAGAAGACCCUGUCGAGCUUGACUCUAGUCUGGCACUGUGAAGAGACAUGAGAGGUGUAGAAUAAGUGGGAGGCCUCGGCUGCUGGUGAAAUACCACUACUCUUAUCGUUUCCUCGCUUACCCGGGUAGGCAGGGAGAUGAGCCCUGAGCGGGCUCUCACUUCUGGAGUCAAGGCACCGGCAUGCGACCUGCUCUAGGGACAGUGGCAGUUGGGGAGUUUGACUGGGGCGGUACACCUGUCAAACGGUAAGUCAAGUGUCCUAAAGGCGUGCUCAGGGAGGACGUAAACCUCCCGUGGAACAGAAGAGCAAAAGCUCGCUUAAUUUUGAUUUUCAGUAUGAAUACAUACCGUGAAAGCAGGACCUCACAAUCCUUCUGGCUUUUUGGGUUUUAAGCAGGAGGUGUCAGAAAAGUUACCACAGGGAUAACUGGCUUGUGGCAGCCAAGCGUUCAUAGCGACGUUGCUUUUUGAUCCUUCGAUGUCGGCUCUUCAUCUUCAUUGAGAAGCAGAAUUCACCAAGCAUUGGAUUGUUCACCCAUUAACAGGGAACCUGAACUGGGUUUAGACCAUCGUGAGACAGGUUAGUUUUUCCCCCCCAAAGAAGUGUUGUUGCAACAGUAAUCCUGCUCAGUACAAGAGGAACCGCAGGGUCAGACAUUUGGUGCAUGUGCUUGGCUGAGGAGCCAAUGGUGUGACGCUACCAUCUGUGGGCUUAUGACUGAACUAUAUUUAAUUGUCUGGCUAAGUUAGAAUCCCCCCUAAACACCACGAUACGUUAGUGCUGCGGGUCUGCGGUUAGGCCACGAUAGCCAGUCGCCCCUCCUCGGGGGGAGGGGAGGCCGGUGUGGAGAGCCACUCGUGAUGGGACUGGAGCGCGGCAGGAUGAAGGCCGCCUCUCUCCCAGCCACGGAACUCACAUUCGUGGGAGCCGGGUACUAAAUCGCUUGCAGACGACCUGAUUCUGGGUGAGGGUGUCAUAUGUAGCAGAGCAGCUCCAAUGCUGCGAUCUAUUGAAA
rnacentral:rRNA from 1 species